rnacentral:rRNA from 1 species
ACGCACGCUGGCGGCGUGCUUAACACAUGCAAGUCGAACGGGCCCGCUCUCUUUUUUGGGGGUGGGUUGAGUGGCGAACGGGUGAGUAUCACGUGAGUAACCUGCCCCCUGCUCCUGGAUAACUGCUUGAAAGGGCGGCUAAUACGGGGUGUGCCGGCUGGUCCGCAUGGGCCUGGUCGGGAUAGUUUCAUCUUCGGGUGUUUCGGUGGGGGAUGGGCUCGCGGCCUAUCAGCUUGUUGGUGGGGUGAUGGCCCACCAAGGCGGUGACGGGUAGCCGGCCUGAGAGGGUGGGCGGCCACACUGGGACUGAGACACGGCCCAGACUCCUGCGGGAGGCAGCAGUGGGGGGUAUUGCACAAUGGGCGGAAGCCUGAUGCAGCGACGGCGCGUGAGGGAUGGAGGCCUUCGGGUUGUGAACCUCUUUCUCCGGUGGUGAAGGCCCUGUCCGUUGCGGCGGGGUUGACGGUAGCCGGGUAUGAAGCACCGGCUAACUACGUG